CCAGGUAGCAUUCCUCAUCGACGUCGUCACCGCACGGCCGGCUGAGACGGGAGCGACGGUCGUGCCCGUUGGGUCUAAUCGGGCAAUGAUAAGAGGCCCGAGACCUCAAUGCCCUCAGUGCUUUCCGUAUCCAAGAGCUCGAGCAAUGCCCCGUUCACCGCACGACAUAGAGCGACGCGGGUAACGGGCCAUGCUGCGAGUUUCGUCUCG
rnacentral:misc_RNA from 1 species